rnacentral:rRNA from 1 species
UGAGGUUAAGCGACUAAGCGUACACGGUGGAUGCCCUGGCAGUCAGAGGCGAUGAAGGACGUGCUAAUCUGCGAUAAGCGUCGGUAAGGUGAUAUGAACCGUUAUAACCGGCGAUUUCCGAAUGGGGAAACCCAGUGUGAUUCAUCACACUAUCAUUACGUGAAUACAUAGCGUAAUGAAGCGAAC